GGGGGGGGGGGGGGGGGGGGGGGGGGGGGGGGGGGCGGGCGGGGGGGGGGGGGGGGGGGGCGGGUAGGGGGGGGGGGUGGCGGAGGGGGGAGGGGUGGGUCGGGAUCGCCUCUUGCGUGGGGGGGCGCGUCGGGACACUUACGCGCCUGCCGCACACGGCAUCCGGGUGAAAGCAGGGCAUCUUCGGACCUUGCGCGCUUGACUGAGCCGAGGUCGGAGUAGCUAGUUGGCGGUGGAAAGGCCCCCCAAGACGACGAUCCGUAGCUGUGCCGAGAGGAUGAUCAGCCACACUGGAACUGAGACACGGUCCAGACUCCUACGGGAGGCAGCAGUGGGGAAUAUUGGACAAUGGGCGCAAGCCUGAUCCAGCCAUACCGCGUGGGUGAAGAAGGCCUUCGGGUUGGAAAGCCCUUUUGUUGGGAAAGAAAAGCAGCAGGUUAAUACCCCGCUGUUCUGACGGUACCCAAAGAAUAAGCACCGGCUAACUUCGUG
rnacentral:rRNA from 1 species